rnacentral:rRNA from 1 species
UACGGAGGGAGCUAGCGUUGUUCGGAAUUACUGGGCGUAAAGCGCACGUAGGCGGCUUUGUAAGUUAGAGGUGAAAGCCUGGGGCUCAACCCCAGAAUUGCCUUUAAGACUGCAUCGCUUGAAUCCAGGAGAGGUGAGUGGAAUUCCGAGUGUAGAGGUGAAAUUCGUAGAUAUUCGGAAGAACACCAGUGGCGAAGGCGGCUCACUGGAGCUGGUAUUGACGCUGAGGUGGCGAAAGCGUGGGGAGCAAACAGG